GAUGAACGCUAGCGACAGGCUUAACACAUGCAAGUCGAGGGGCAGCGAGGGCGUAGCAAUACGCCUGUCGGCGACCGGCGCACUGGUGAGUAACACGUAUGCGACCUGCCCCCUACAGGGGUAUAACCCGUAGAAAUGCGGACUAAUCCCCCAUAGUCCUGGGUGCUGCAUGGCAUUCAGGGGAAAGGCCAGCCGGUAGGGGAUGGGCAUGCGGCGCAUUAGCUAGUUGGCGGGGCAACGGGCCCACCAAGGCGACGAUGCGUAGGGGUUCUGAGAGGAAGGUCCCCCCACACUGGUACUGAGACACGGACCAGACUCCUACGGGAGGCAGCAGUGAGGAAUAUUGGUCAAUGGGCGCAGGCCUGAACCAGCCAAGUCGCGUGAGGGAGGACGGUCCUACGGAUUGUAAACCUCUUUUGUCGGGGAGUAACGUGCGGGACGCGUCCCGUAUUGAGAGUACCCGAAGAAAAGCAUCGGCUAACUCCGUG
rnacentral:rRNA from 1 species